rnacentral:rRNA from 1 species
AGGAUUCCCGUAGUAACGGCGAGUGAACUGGGAAGAGUCCAGCGCUGAAUCGCGGCGCCUCUGGUGCCGCGAGGUGUAGCGUACAGACCGUGAGCAUGGGUUGGCCUGCCCGUUCAAGUUUCCCUUGACCGGGGCUCCAGAGAAGGUGCAAGACCUGUCCAACGGGCGGCAGCCAGUCCAUUUUCGCGUGUCUCGGAGUCGGGUUGUUUGGGAUCGCAGCCCAAAGCAGGUGGUAAACUUCAUCUAAGACUGAAUAUGACUACGAGUCCGAUAGCGAACAAGUACCGUGAGGGAAAGUUGCAAAGCACUUUGAAGAGAGAGUUAAAGAGGACGUGAAACCGAUGAGGUGGAAACGGACAGAGCUGGCGUAUCUGGCCUGUAUUCAGCCACGGGCCCGCCGGUGUCAGGGAUGCCGCUCUCCAGAUUGGGACGGUGGCCUGUCUGCUGGUGGGUUUGUGGUGCAUUUGCAGGUGGAGUGCGCCGAGGCGCUCGGGCACAGCGGCAUGAGCCCAGUUUUGAGGCCAGCCUCGCAAGAGGUCUGGUACCCGGACUGGGGGAGUGUUGUUUGGCCUGGGUGUACAAGUGGGGCAAUGGAAUCGGGCCCGGGUGGGUGCCGAGCUGGCAGUCGGCGUCGGUCGCAUGCGACACGUGCCAGCGGUCAGUUCGGUCCUGCUCGAGCUCACAUCUGCCCGUCCUCGGUGUAAAAGCCGGUCAUCUGUCCGACCCGUCUUGAAACACGGACCAAGGAGUUUAGCGUGUGCGCGAGUCAUUGGGCGUUAAAAACCCAAAGGCGCAAUGAAAGUGAAGGUCUCCCUUGCGGAGCUGAUGUGUGAUCCUGGUGCACUGCGGUGCCCGGGCGCAACAUAGUCCCGUCCCGACCGCAUGCGGUGGGGCGGAGACAGAGCGUACGCGCUGAGACCCGAAAGAUGGUGAACUAUUCCUGAGCAGGAUGAAGCCAGUGGAAACUCUGGUGGAAGUCCGAAGCGAUUCUGACGUGCAAAUCGAUCGUCUGACUUGGGUAUAGGGGCGAAAGACUAAU